GACUUGCAGUGUUUUUAACAUUUAAAUGUACCUAUAUCUGGGGGUUGUGGAUUAAAGAAUUUUAGAACUUGAAGCUACACAUGAGCUUUCGACGUGUAGAUAUGGCUGUGUUUUAGGCUGCUGUUGAGAUUUCUGAGUAACCCUUCAAUAAAGGUAACUUUUGGCAGCAAAUUCUUUAGUUGAGAAGUAAGAAAACCAAAAGCUAGCAGAUAUAGAUAAGCAGAACACCCACCACUACCCGGUCUCCUUCAAUAAAAUUCCUGAUGGAUGUACUUGGUAUGAGUUUUGACGCAAUGCACAGGUAAUGUUUCUCAUGACAUGAUCAAACUCAAAGUGUAGAUGAGCUAUAUGAUUUUGACAAGCAAUUUUAUUCUCAACUUCAUGUAUAAAGGAAAACAUCCAGUUGUAUUUGGCCAUUAAAACUUGAAAAACUGGGGCUCUUGUCCACAGUUUACUUUCCCCUUGAAGAA